UGCCCCAUGGCUGAGUUGGUUACAGCGUCCGACUGUUAAUGUCUUAUAGGCAACUUACAUCGGAAGGUCGAGAGUUCGAGCCUCUCUGGGGCAG